GGUAAGACAGGGAAAUAUUAAAUGAUUGUGUACUGAGAUGGAGACGUGGAAGAUCUGGCCCUGAUGGAGGAUCAGAGGGAGCAGGUUGGGUGAAAGCCCGGAAAUGUGGCAGUGUUGAAGAGGGACCCAGCUGUGGACAGGGAGGAGGGACAGGGUGCUGAACACGCCUGAGAGAAUUCUUCCAGGUGGCAAGGGUGGGG
rnacentral:lncRNA from 1 species